ACCAAAGUCGCCUGUUCUUUCACUGUGC
rnacentral:piRNA from 1 species